rnacentral:tRNA from 2 species
GCUGCGGUAGCUCAGUGGUAGAGCACUCCCUUGGUAAGGGAGUAACCAGGAUGGAAACGCGGCCCUUUUCCGAGCA